rnacentral:lncRNA from 1 species
GUUGACGCUUGCCGUUUAGGUAGCGUUUGGUUCGGGUAUAAGCAAGAACUGGCUAUUACAGAAAUAGGUACAAGUAUGGAAAUAAGAAAAAUAGUAUUCGAAUGAAAAUUAGAUUGUUUCCGGGAAUAAGAAUAAUUUUAAAUAAUUUUAUAUAAAAACUGAAGUGUUGGUGGGAAUAACCGAGAAUUACUAUUCUUGAAUAAAAAAUUAGCGUUUGAAUAUUAAAGGGGGAUAAGGGCCUAUUUCUAUUUCUAUCCCCUAACCAAACGCUGCCUUAAAGUUCAAACCUGAACUCGCAUGACGGAACGGGCAGUGUUUCCAAGUAAUACAUAUUUUAGGUAAAUUUUAAAUACCAUUCUUGUUGUUCUGUAUUUUUUUAUUUAAUUUUUCAUUUCUAUUGAAGCAUUUUAUUAUUAUAGAAAUAAAAAAUUAUACUUCGCUAUAUUAUUAUGGAUUUCCAAGUAGAGUUACUUCUUUUCACAUAAUCUACUUCUUUUUUUAAUUUCUUAACUUGCAUCCAUUCUUACCUCUAUAAUUCUUUUGUUUUGAAUUUGAAACAAAAUGAGAUGUGAUCUAUAAUCUUACAUUUCUUGUAACCUAUAUUUCUAUCUAUUUAUAUAGAGUUGAUGAAACUACACAACAAAAGUCGAGCAGUUGUACCGACUGUUUCCAACGCAAGUGGCAAAGGGCUUAGGUGGUUGGUAUUCGAGAUCUCAAGUUCGAAUCAUAGUUGAUUCAUAUUUCCAACUAAGUUUAUUUCUAAAUGAAGUAAACGAAACAGGUAACAUGCUAUCUAUUUCUUAAAAAAAAAAAAAAAUCGAGCAAUUGUAUUAUAUAGGAAAUAAAUCGGUAUCCUACCAUAUCGGUUUAAGAAUUUGUCAACUACAGAACAUGAAUUUU